rnacentral:rRNA from 1 species
UACCAGCUCUCCGAGUGGUGUGGAUGUUUAUUGGGCCUAAAGCAUCCGUAGCUGGCUGGGCAAGUCCCCUGUUAAAUCCACCGAUUUAAUCGUUGGUGUGCGGGGGAUACUGUUCGGCUAGGGGACGGGAGAGGCCGACGGUAUUUUCGGGGUAGGGGUGAAAUCCUAUAAUCCCGGGAAGACCACCAGUGGCGAAGGCUGUCGGCUAGAACGCGCCCGACGGUGAGGGAUGAAAGCUGGGGGAGCGAACCGGAUUAGAUACCCGGGUAGUCCCAGCUGUAAACGAUGCAGGCUAGGUGUUUGGGCGGCCACGUGCCGCUCUAGUGCCGCAGAGAAGUCGUUAAGCCUGCCGCCUGGGGAGUACGGCCGCAAGGCUGAACUUAAAGGAAUUGGCGGGGGAGCACCACAAGGGGUGAAGCUUGCGGUUU